rnacentral:rRNA from 1 species
AUUGAACGCUGGCGGCAGGCCUAACACAUGCAAGUCGAGCGGAUGACGGGAGCUUGCUCCUGGAUUCAGCGGCGGACGGGUGAGUAAUGCCUAGGAAUCUGCCUGGUAGUGGGGGACAACGUUUCGAAAGGAACGCUAAUACCGCAUACGUCCUACGGGAGAAAGCAGGGGACCUUCGGGCCUUGCGCUAUCAGAUGAGCCUAGGUCGGAUUAGCUAGUUGGUGAGGUAAUGGCUCACCAAGGCGACGAUCCGUAACUGGUCUGAGAGGAUGAUCAGUCACACUGGAACUGAGACACGGUCCAGACUCCUACGGGAGGCAGCAGUGGGGAAUAUUGGACAAUGGGCGAAAGCCUGAUCCAGCCAUGCCGCGUGUGUGAAGAAGGUCUUCGAAUUGUAAAGCACUUUAAGUUGGAGGAAGGGCAGUAAGCGAAUACCUUGCUGUUUUGACGUUACCGACAGAAUAAGCACCGGCUAACUCUGUGCCAGCCGCCGCCGUAAGAC